rnacentral:rRNA from 1 species
UACGUAGGCAGCAAGCGUUGUUCGGAAUUACUGGGCGUAAAGAGUGUGUAGGCGGUGCUCUAAGUUCGUUGUGAAAUCUCCCGGCUUAACUGGGAGGGUGCGGCGGAAACUGGAGUGCUUGAGCGCGGGAGAGGAAAGCGGAAUUCCUGGUGUAGCGGUGAAAUGCGUAGAUAUCAGGAGGAACACCUGUGGUGUAGACGGCUUUCUGGACCGUAGCUGACGCUGAGACACGAAAAGCGUGGGUAGCAAACAGG